rnacentral:rRNA from 1 species
UACGGAGGGUGCAAGUGUUAAUCGGCAUUACUGGGCGUAAAGCGCACGCAGGCGGCUUGUUAAGUCGGAUGUGAAAGCCCCGGGCUCAACCUGGGAAUUGCGUUCGAUACUGGCAAGCUAGAGUAUGUGAGAGGGGGGUAGAAUUCCAAGUGUAGCGGUGAAAUGCGUAGAGAUUUGGAGGAAUACCAGUGGCGAAGGCGGCCCCCUGGCACACUACUGACGUUCAGGUGCGAAAGCGUGGGGAGCAAACAGG